rnacentral:rRNA from 1 species
AACCUUUACUAUAGCUUGACACUGAACAUUGAGCCUUGAUGUGUAGGAUAGGUGGGAGGCUUUGAAGUGUGGACGCCAGUCUGCAUGGAGCCGACCUUGAAAUACCACCCUUUAAUGUUUGAUGUUCUAACGUGGAUCCGUAAUCCGGGUUGCGGACAGUGUCUGGUGGGUAGUUUGACUGGGGCGGUCUCCUCCUAAAGAGUAACGGAGGAGCACGAAGGUUGGCUAAUCCUGGUCGGACAUCAGGAGGUUAGUGCAAUGGCAUAAGCCAGCUUGACUGCGAGCGUGACGGCGCGAGCAGGUGCGAAAGCAGGUCAUAGUGAUCCGGUGGUUCUGAAUGGAAGGGCCAUCGCUCAACGGAUAAAAGGUACUCCGGGGAUAACAGGCUGAUACCGCCCAAGAGUUCAUAUCGACGGCGGUGUUUGGCACCUCGAUGUCGGCUCAUCACAUCCUGGGGCUGAAGUAGGUCCCAAGGGUAUGGCUGUUCGCCAUUUAAAGUGGUACGCGAGCUGGGUUUAGAACGUCGUGAGACAGUUCGGUCCCUAUCUGCCGUGGGCGCUGGAGAACUGAGGGGGGCUGCUCCUAGUACGAGAGGACCGGAGUGGACGCAUCACUGGUGUUCGGGUUGUCAUGCCAAUGGCACUGCCCGGUAGCUAAAUGCGGAAGAGAUAAGUGCUGAAAGCAUCUAAGCACGAAACUUGCCCCGA